GAACGGGUGAGUAAUACAUAAGUAACCUGCCCUAGACAGGGGGAUAACUAUUGGAAACGAUAGCUAAGACCGCAUAGGUACGGACACUGCAUGGUGACCGUAUUAAAAGUGCCUCAAAGCACUGGUAGAGGAUGGACUUAUGGCGCAUUAGCUGGUUGGCGGGGUAACGGCCCACCAAGGCGACGAUGCGUAGCCGACCUGAGAGGGUGACCGGCCACACUGGGACUGAGACACGGCCCAGACUCCUACGGGAGGCAGCAGUAGGGAAUUUUCGGCAAUGGGGGAAACCCUGACCGAGCAACGCCGCGUGAAGGAAGAAGGUUUUCGGAUUGUAAACUUCUGUUAUAAAGGAAGAACGGCGGCUACAGGAAAUGGUAGCCGAGUGACGGUACUUUAUUAGAAAGCCACGGCUAACUACGUGCCAGCAGCCGCGGUAAUACGUAGGUGGCAAGCGUUAUCCGGAAUUAUUGGGCGUAAAGAGGGAGCAGGCGGCAGCAAGGGUCUGUGGUGAAA
rnacentral:rRNA from 1 species